UACGUAGGGGGCAAGCGUUGUCCGGAAUCAUUGGGCGUAAAGCGCGUGUAGGCGGCUUGGUAAGUCUGCUCUGAAAGCCCGGGGCUCAACCCCGGGAGGCGGGUGGAUACUGCUGAGCUCGAGUCCGGAAGAGGCGAGUGGAAUUCCUGGUGUAGCGGUGAAAUGCGCAGAUAUCAGGAGGAAUACCGGUGGCGAAAGCGACUCUCUGGACGGCAACUGACGCUGAGGCACGAAAGCGUGGGGAGCAAACAGG
rnacentral:rRNA from 1 species